GCGGGAAGCCUGUUUUAAGAUGAGGUUUCAUGAAGGCGCCCAGGAGAUGACUGGGUUGAUAGGCCAGAUCUGGAAGCAUCGUAAGGUGUGGAGGUGACUGGUACUAAUCCGCCGUUGAUCAA
rnacentral:rRNA from 1 species